GACGAACGCUGGCGGCGUGCCUAAUACAUGCAAGUCGACCUUAGUGGCGAGCGGGUGAGUAAAACGUGGGUAACCUGCCCAUCAGAAGGGGGGAACACUUGGCAACAGGUGCUUAUCCCGGAAACGGGUGGAGGGACCAGCGGGGCAUUAGCUAGUGGGUGGGGUAACGGCUCACCAAGGCCACGAUGCAUAGCCGACCUGAGAGGAUGAUCGGCCACAUUGGGACUGAGACACGGCCCAAACUCCUACGGGAGGCAGCAGUAGGGAAUCUUCGGCAAUGGACGAAAGUCUGACCGAGCAACGCCGCGUGAGUGAAGAAGGUUUUCGGAUCGUAAAGCUCUGUUGUUAGAGAAGCGUUAUCUAACCAGAAAGCCACGGCUAACUACGUGCCAGCCGCCGCGGUAAUAC
rnacentral:rRNA from 1 species